AAAAGAAAGGAAACUUUCAGAGAAAUAUUAAUUCUUUAGUAUAAAUUUUGUUCUUGUUUUAAAAGUUCAUCGAAAUCAUCAAAGUAGUGGUGAAGCUCCGGUGGUGAUCAAUAUGCCAACGAUUAACUCGUGGUCCUGUUUUGCUGCUCUCCAAAAGGUAACAUUCCUUUUUCGUUUCAAAUUUCGAUCUUUUCUGCUUCAUUUCAAUUUUCUGUAGCGAUAACUAAUUUUUUUGUGUGGUAACAUUCUGUGCUGAGAUUGUUUGCUGGUAGAUGGCUUUAAUAGCCAUAGGUUGCAUUCAUGAUAGUUGUCAUUACACUUUAUUUGAAUCGAUAUGUUUGCUGGGAAAUUUUUGGCUAGUUGAGUUCGUUUGUAAGUUUCAUGUGCCUAGGUCGGAGGUUGAAAAUUCAGGUAAAGAUUGGAAAUUUGUGCGAUUUUAGUUGUUGGUGAACGAAGUUUCCAUAUGUGUAGGAUCCAGUGAAGAGCCAGACCACAUUGAGUGUAGUUUGUGUGGUUUCAUCUUGCAUUCAUUCAAGUAGAUGCAUAAAUAGCUUAAAAAUGUAUGAACUCAAUUGUGUGUCGGUCAUGUAUACAUAUAUGUGGUGUGUAAAGUUGCUAAUUUUUCAACUAGUAUUAAUUUUUGAUUUCAUAAUUUCAAAUGUAUAAAUGGGAAAAAUUUGGCCACUUGUGUUGGUUAGUAAGUCUCAUAUGCUUAAGAUAGAGGUUGAAAUUUAGGUAAAAUCUAAACCUUUUUUACUGUUUAGUUAGUGGUGGAUUCACAUCUCGGUAAACUAAGCUCUCUUUAUGAGUAAGGUUCGUUAAAGGGAUGGACCACAUUGAGUUUGUUGUUUGCUGAACCUACAUUUCAUUAACAUGAUCUCUUUAUUAAUCUUUAGGAUCGAUUUGAAUAUUCGUCUGAAGCUGAAAACUAAAAAGGUUAUUUGAAAUCCAAGUCUAGUUAAUAAGUCGGCUUCUGUUAGUUGAUUCAUGGCUUUAUUCAUUUUCCUGCACCUAUCAAUGCAGAAGAAAGAGUUAAUUUUCAACAUAUGGUUUGUCAGAAUGUUGGCUAGUUUUUCUAUCCAUUGUAGUUCAUGUUCGAAAUCACAUGUGGCAAUGUUCUUUUCAUCCUCAUCGGCAUCAAAGCUUCAUUAUUUGCAGUGAAUUGUUUUGUGGGAUAACGAAGUAACAAUAUUUACAUAUGAUUGGAUAUUUUUUGUCCAUUUCAUGUUCUUGUACUGUAUCCAAUAUAACUGUUUGCUUGUAGAACACUGUAUAAGUUUACUAGCCUUGAUUUGUUCUACUUUGAGGAAAUUUUUCUAGUCAAGCUUUACCUGUGCUCCACCUAAAUGCUUCUUUGAUUAUCUAAGUGCUUAUGUGAUAGUAAAUAAUUUGUCCGUUUGCCUGAUUGUAGUGUUCAUUGAGGAUAAGUAUACCUAGACAUCAUGUGAAUUUGGUUUCUCAUUAGCUAAAGAAUUAUAGACUGCUAUGCCCAAACAGAUAGGGAAAUACUCCUAAUGUGAAUUUGAUUUAUUAAAUUUUCCUGCAUGUUGUGUAUAAAUUUGGUCUUUUAUAGCUCAGUAAGUUUAUUCGAAUGCACCCUGAUAAAUAGGUAAAUUAUCUCCUAUUGAACAUUUGAUUGAAGUUUUAACUUCGCUGAACUAACGUGCCCAUCUCAUAUAUUUAAUAUUUGCCCGCUAUUAAAUAGGAUGCAUGAUAUUUUAGUAUUUUUGAAUAUUAGUUUGAACGUGUAUUAAUUACUUUAUUUUUCCUUCUUUCCUUUUGUAUGUGGAAACAUUCGAGUCUAAAUGGACUCUAUUCCCAUUGUUGCAUUAUCGAUGUGGGCCAUUGGAGCCAAUCCCUCAUGAGUCGAUUUCGAAGUCCCUAAGGAGACAAUAUCAUAGUACACGGAUUACAAGGAAUCAAAAGAAGAAGAACGGGUUAAAAACCCACAUUUGAAGCGGCCAAGAGACUUGAAAGUCUCGGUUUCCAUUUUAUUUAUUAUUGUUGUCUUUAUUUAUUCAGUUAUUAUUUUUAUUCAUUCAUCUGGGCCACGAAUCCAAAGUUGUAAAUUUAAUAUAGGUGGAGUGAGACUCAAGCCAAACGCUCAAAAACUAGAUUAGAACAGGUGAAAAUGGAUCGAAAGCCCAACUAGACUAGGACAGGUCUCAUUGAUUUGGGCCCAAUGAUCUAAAUCCCUUCCUUUCUCCCUUUCUCCUUUUUCUUUAUUCUUGUUUGCUUUACGUGUUUUGUGAACCUAGUUAAAUCCUUAGUCAAGUCGCUAAAAAAUUGGUUUUGCACAAACACCAAAGUAUUCCUAAAAUUGCUUUCUUUCAAAAAUCAACUUCUUUCAAGGUUAAUCAAAGAUGAUUUUCAAACAGUUCAGAUAACCGCAAGUUAGCGGACGUUUUAGGUGCCUAACACCUUCCUAAAACGUUAAUAGGAACCACUUAUAUAGAAUCUCUAACUUAAAUGAUUUUCCUAUUUUGAAUAGUUUGAAGUAACUCUUUAAAGGUUUCUUAAUUCCUUUUCAAAAUUAAGUGGCGACUCUCUCAAAAAGUCAAAAUUUCUUCGCAAAACAGAAAUGGCGACUCUGUUGGGGAACUUUAACUAGGUUCUAACCAAAUGUUUGAUUUCGUCUCUUGAUUAACUGUUAAUGUGUUUAUAUAUUUCAAUUUUGUAAAGUUUAACUAUCGCAUCUCAUGACAUAUUCCUGCAUUAUUUAAACUAUUUUGGGGUUUCGUGGAUGUCCCGGCCCCUAUUGUUCAAUUUCAAUAAUGUGUUGGAAAUACGAACGAUUUAUUAACACGUGAGUCGUCGAAUGUUGUUCGUAUUUUCAAACUCAAGUUGUCCGCUUGUGAAUCAGUGUUCAAACCCACUCUAGACAUCAAGGAUAGAAUGAAACCAAAACUCUAUUUUCGGCAUGAGCCUACGACGACCCAAUACCCGAGCGGGGUAUUGGACCCAUUAGAAAACCUGCCCUGCGUCUAUUGACCCCGAGUUAAUUACAGAUGAAUCAUAUUUAUGUGUUGAAAACAUACAUGUUUGUCUAAUUCAAUCCAUUAUCCUUUGGGGUGAGGGGAAGCCUUAUCUUUGUCUGCUUUCAUGUAGGAUAUGGCUUAACCACAUGAGUGCAGAAGAGAGAAAGAUUGUUAGAACACACAUUGGGCAUCUCCCUUCUUUGAUCGAGAUGGACGCUUGGCCCAAAAUGAUCCAUGUACUAACAACUUUUUGGGAUGAUCAGAAUAUGGUAUUUCACUUCGGGGAUGUUGAGUUGACUCCUAUCAUUGAAGAGGUAUUGAUUUGUUACGAGAGUACGGAAAUGUGUUUUAAGAGAAGGGAGACACCGGAUAAGAACAUUUUAGUCCAAGUUGUAUGGGAUCGUCAAAAGAUCAAGGAGGUAUUUUUAACUGACUACGACACCUGGCUAGGAGAACGUGAUGGAACAAAUAUUACUUUGCGUGAGUUGUAUCGUUGGUUUGAAAGAUUCAAUGCUUUUCACAAAUUUGGGCGUAAAUUUGAGUCAGAAGCAAAAUGGAAGGAGACGAGAGCCUUUGCAUUUGCGGUAGGCCUACUUGGAACCAUGGUGUUCCCACAGAGGGAAAAUGGCAUAAUUCAUCUGAGGGUUGUCUCAGUGACCCAUGCACUCUUCUUUGGAAUGGAGUACGAUUCUAAAAAGGUAUUCCACAACUUAGCUCCCAUGAUUGUCACCGACAUAUAUCGAGCUUUGGGAAGAUGUCAAGUUGAAAAUCGUUUUUUUCAAGGCUGUAACCUUAUAUUACAGUGGUGGAUGAUGAUGCAUUUGGUGAAAAAUCCUACAACGGCACAACCUGACUACAAAACAAGGAGGAAUUUGCUAGAAUCGCACGGCAUGUGGUUGUUUUUACACAAGUUCAAAAGGGAAGCAUCUCAUGAAUUUUGGUUUAAGACUCUUGGAGAAUUAAGAGAUGACAAUGUCCAAUGGUCCCUUAACUAUCUUCAUUCAGGGAAAUACAUUAUUCGAGGGGGAGAGUGGCCUUUUCUAGUGCUUUCGGGUCUCAGGGGAAACCGUCCCUACAAUCUUGACAGAGUUCUUAGGCAAUUCGAGAUCAAGCAGGAGAUGCCUCAAAUCGAUUCGAUGCUCAGAUUCUUUACCAAAUAUGAUGAAAGUGAGCCCCCACUCAAAGACUACAUGAUAAACAGAUAGAGAAGAAGAAGGUGGAUGGAAGUCUCUUUUCGAAUAGGGUAUGAACCUGAAGUCAGUGACACUUACAAGGAGUGGUUAAAAAAGAGCCUCGACGGAGCAUUGAUUUCGAGGCCGAACGUGCCCACUCGGGUCGUGGAUGUAGAAUCCGAGCAUCAAAUUCGACUCCACAGGCUUCAGGAUGAAUUUCAGAAAAGUGAAAUCGUGCACCGACAGAUGCAUGUAUAAGAUGCUUUAACAAUACGUAUGUUGAGGGAAGAGUUGAAAAAAGAUAGGCAAGAGGCUGAUGAUGCUAGGCAGUGUUUAAUCGAUUUGGAUGAUUGCAUGGCCUCUAACCUCGAUAGUAUAGGAAAAAUAACUUACGACAGCAAGGCACAGUUAUGCGGGAGUCAUCUGAUCAUCAAUAGGUAUUAAAUAGCACAGGAGGUGAACAAGGCAAAGAAGGCAAAGGCAGACGAAGGGGCCUCUGGUAGCUAGUUUUUCUAUUUCCCCUGCGCGGGAACUUAUUUUCUUUUAUUUCCCUUUUUCCCUAAAGAUUGUAUCUCUCUUUUGUUAUAUUUUGUAGGCAUUUAUGUCCUUUUUCGUAUCUAUAUAAGUUGGGGGAUAAUGGAUUGACUUUAAGGAAGCAUAUAUUUUCUUCAAAAUUGUUAGGCCUGAACCCUUGGCUCAAAAAGGGUCACCCCAGUUAGGAUACGCAUUAUUAUAAUGUUUUGUGUUACAUAAUUGUCUAAUGUGCUUAUAUGUGUUUGUUUGGAUCAAAGGCAAGAUUAUCCACUAUGCUCCUAUGGAUAAAUUUGGCGAUGACUCAAACAACUCUAUGUGGUUAUUUCUUGUCAAAUAUUUUGCAUUACUUAUCACAUACGAAAACUAACACAUCUGCCUUUAAGUUGUUUUACUUUAUAGAUAAUAGAAACUACUCCGUGUUGAUAUAAGCUAGCAGAACAUCCCUACUUCACCGAGUCAAAAGCGCACAAAAUCCCAUCCUCUGACCAUCAUUCAAUAAUGACUGGAAAUAAUGAAGAAAACGUAUUAGCCAUCAGGGACAAUGUAAUAGCCGAACAGAGUGAGAUGAUUGCAGAACUCACAAGAAAUAUUGAAAUGUUGCAGGAGGAAAUAAAUCAUACUCGAGAUUUGGCUCACCUGGCCAUUACUGUUAAUGCUACCGCUCCAGGAGGACACAGGACUCCACUCCAAAUCCCUUCCCUUAGUACGCCUAUUCUUGGGGAUCAUCCAAAUAACAUAUCGUUCAUCUCUGCCCCUCCACUUGUCCAAAAUACCAAUCGUGAAAAUAACCCAGAUGCUUACCAUCCACAAAAUCCAACCCUAGCCCCACAAAAUCCUUCUCGAAUCUAUAAAAUUCAUUCCCACAUCCCCAGAACCCAUUGGUAAAUCCACAAAAUCCAUCCCCAGAUCUAUCAAAUCUGCCAAAUCUAUCUCCGAACCCAUAAACUUUAUUUCUGAAUUCACAGAAUCCCUCCCAAAUCCCACCAAGCUACUCUUAAACUCCACAAAAAUUUUCCAGUUUUCGAAACACUCUCCCCACCCACAAUCUAACUUCUUUUCAUCCACAAAAUCAAGUCGCCUUUCCAAAUCCUUCUUAUGUCAUCAUAUCCCCUGACAUCUAUAAUUUCUUUCCUAAUCUAGAGGUGGACCAUUACGAGGAGAAAGAGAAAGAGUGGAAGACCAAGCAUGAAAUGAAGUUGCUAGCUAUGAAUGAAGAGAUCAUAAGGAUCAAGGAAUCUCAUGGAGCGGGGAACAACGAUGGGUUAGGUUAUGAUGAUUUAUGUGUUCACCCUGGAGUAGAUCUACCAGAAGGGUAUAAGGUCCCUAAAUUUGAAGUGUUCGAUGACACCUAAAAUCUAAUGGCCCAUUUGAAAAGGUAUUAUGAUCAAAUGGUGGGAGUAAGGAAAAAUAAGGCAUUAUUAAUGUGCUUAUUCAACCGAAGCUUAAGUGGCGAAGCCUUAGAUUGGUUCACGUCUCAAGAACUAAAAAAAUGGACUAGUUGGAGGGCAUUGGCCAAAAGUUUCCUUAAUAGGUUUGCAUUCAACACUGAAAUAGUCCCUGACCGAUAUUCAUUAGAUUGGAUCAAGCAGAGGAAUGAUGAGUGUUUCCGAGGCUAUGCCUUCCAUUGGAGAAAAGAAGCUGCCAAAGUACAACCUCUCAUGUCUGAGGAAGAAAUAGUGUCUGUGUUCUAUCGCGCUCAAUAGGGAGAAUAUUAUACCAGGUUGGUAUCCGCAGUCCGAGCAACUUUCACAGAUUUAGUAAAGAUUGGGGAAUCGUUAGAGGAAGGCACCCGAACAGGAAAAAUUGCCAAAACCCCAAUAUCAUCUGAAUCUUCUGCAUUCUCAGAGAAGAAAAGAGAGGAUGUGACUGUGGUCUCUACUGAUUUUAUUGAUAAAUUGAAGAGGAAAUUCAAGCCUAGGAAUAUUCUUUCCUCACCACCAUCACUAAAUUUUCAGCCUAUAUUCUACGCCCAUCCCCAAUAUCAAGCUCCAAUUUCAAAUAUUUUACCCAGUGCCAAAUUUCGUAGCCAAAUUAUCAAUCUCAUGUUCAAGAUAUUCUUUCAAACAAUCAAAUAAAUGUCCAAAUGCCUCCAAACUAUCAUCAAGUACCUCCUCAUGCUAAUCAAAAUUAGUAUAACCACCCACGUGUAAGCCUCGAGAAGAAGCCUCCCAGAAAAUUCACUCCAUUGGCUGAAAGUCGUACCCAUCUCUUCGGAAGAUUGAUGAAGGUCGGUUAUUUACAGCCUAUUCCACCAAAGACUACCAAUCUCAAUUCUCUAUUCUUUCAUGUCGAUUAAGGAGCUCCAGGGCAUAAUACUGAAGAUUGCAUCAAUCUGAAACACAAGAUCCAGGACUUGAUUGACCAGGAGAUCAUCACUCUUCAGGCGCCGGCACCAAAUGUUGCUAGUAACACAUUGCCUAAUCAUGAGGGAGCCACGAUUAGCAUGAUCGAAAUAACAUGUGAAUGGGUAUCUAGCGAGAUAAUAUCUAAUGUGGAUUCACGAAACUCCAAAAAGACAUAAGGAGUGGAAAUGUUAGAGAAAGUUGUGGCUGCCUUGAGUAAGAAUUCGGAAGGAAUUAUUAAGCCUAUUAUGGUCCCGGAAAGAGCAUUUAAGCGUGGAGUAAUAUAUCAAUCAAGAAAAGAAGAUGAGAUCGAAGAUAAUUCAAAGGAGAGUCUAUUUAGGCCCUUGCCGAUCUUGUACCAGUCAUUUCCCGUACAUGAGAUAUCAAACGAUAAUGGUCUUGGGGAUGGAAUAAGCGAUCUGUUCGAAGGAUGCAAUGCUCUACCAGAUGAUUUACCAAAGUCCGGUGGGGUGAAAAAGAUUGCAUCAGAGGAGGCCUUGCAAAACUGUACCUCUAAUCCACUCAUAACCCGUCACCCAUCGUGGUAGAUGAAAAGGGCAAUUACUAAUAGUUUUUAAAAUCGGUGAUGAUCCGGAAGAGGCCCCGUGAUCCCCCCUUUUAUGUCUCAAAUUUUUAUUUCGUGUUUUACAACUUUCAAAAAGGCAUGGGCCCAUAUUUGUGUGGGUCAUGAGCCAUAGUUUUUAUUUAUUUUCCAAAAGGCCUCCCUAUAUUUAAGAAGUUAUUUUUUAAAAAUAUGAUUAUCUAGCAUGGUUUGUUUUGGUAGCAAUAAUUUAAAAACCUGUCAAUGUCAUGUCAUGUCAUGUCAAGGGUUAGACGAACAAAGUGAAGGAAAUAAUAAUGAACAGAAAGGGUGAUAAGAAGCAGUUAGUAGUAGAUACAGAGGAAUGUGAAAAUCAAAAGAAGCCCAACCUGGAGGACCCCUAAUCCUACCUGAGAUGGAUAGUCAAGAGUGCACCAAACCAAUCAAUUCUGAUGCGGUAAAGAGAUACUAUGCUUGAAAUAUGUUACAGUUUUUUGUUUCUUGGCUUAUUUGUAAUCGUCUUUAUAAUAGUAUCAAUUUUAUGAUAUGUAAUUGCCUAGAACCCCUUCCCUUUGUGUACAAACUACGUUUGACCUGAAUUCUCAAGAAUGAGAUACGUAGGCGGCCUACGUCGGCUUCAGUCAAUCCCUUAUGAAAAUUUAUCCUUUCCUUUUAUGUAUGAACUACGUGAUAACCUGAAUUCUCAAGAAUGAGAUACGCAGGCAGCCUAUGUCGGCUUUGAUCAACCCAAUAGAUUUUUCUAUAUAUCCUUAGCGUAGUCUUGAACUAUGUGUCCUGAACUACAUUUGACCUGAUUCCUGCUUCAACGGGAUACGUAGGCAUCCCAAUGGCUCGGUCAUAUAACCCCAAAAAAUGAAAACUGGGGCAGAAUUUUUGAGAAGGAAUCUCAAAAAUUCACAAGAGGAAGAUCGACAUCCAACAAGGAGAACAAAAACCAACAAAGACUUUGGAUCCUCUCGAGCUAAUAUCAUAUCAAACAACUUUAAACUGGGGCAGAAAUUUUGAGGAGGUCUUCAAAAUUUUCACUAAUAUAUUGAAAUGUAUUUCAAAUUCCCCAGUACCAGAGGGCAAAGUCAAACCUUUAAAGUCACUAGCUGCGACAAAAUCUAGGUGGACUUAAAUUUUGGCUAUGACAGAACUAUUUGAAGAACCCUCCAGCAAUGAUAAUGAGUUUUAGAAAUCCAUCGUUGGAUAAAGUCAGAACUAAGAGGAAGACAUUCGUUGAGCUAGUACAUGACAUAACUGGCAGAGAUUUUCUAAAGUUUUUAUAGAAGCUUUCGAAGCUAUUUUCUAAAAAUUAAGACUACUUUCAACAAUUUAUACAAAUCUUUUAUUUAGUACUUUCCUAGACAUCAAUCGAGAUGGAGAGUCAAGGGUGGAGGUACCAAUAUGAUGGGGCACCUGAAAGAUGGCGAGGAGCAAACCGAGCAGACAAGAAAGUCAACAAGGAAUAGUUUUAUUCAAACUAAUUAUUUUUUUGUGGAUACAUGGAUCAAUACACAAAAAUGAGUGAUGAUUUCAAAGAAUCCCCAAGCAAAUUGGGAGUCAUUCCAGAACAUAUAAUGCUUAAGAAUGGUACUUUUGGGUAGCCCAAAAUGGGUUUAAAACCCAUUUAUCGAGGACCAUUUGAAUUAUCCAUCCCAUUUUUUGAGGUCAUGAAAGACAAACAAAGGCGUCUUCUUUUCUUUACGAACAUUGCAUUUAGAAUUUUUCUAAAAAAUGGUCGCUAGCAAAAGCGACUUUGUGUCUACUAAUUGUCUACCUUGAGUACAGGUACAUGUAGAAAGCAAGACUUUGACAAAUGAAUUCAGGUGAAAUUGUUUUUAAAAUUACCGAAAGAACCAUUCAUAUCAUUGCCAAGAGGGCCAUUUCAUAUCAUUACCAAGAGGGCCAUUGCAUAUUAUUGCCAAGAGGGCCAUUGCAUAUCAUUGCCAAGAGGGUCAUUUCAUAUCAUUGCCAAGAGGGCCAUUCAUAUCAUCGCCGGGAGGGCCAUUGUAUAUUAUUGCUAAGAGGGUCAUUCAAUAUCUGUUGACACGUUGAGGAUAUCAUCAGCAUUCAAUAUCUAUUGACACACAAGACAUAAAUGUUGGCAUCGAGGAUAUCAUCAGCAUUCAAUAUCUGUAGACACGUAAGAUAUAAACGCUGGCGUCGAGGAUAUCAUCAGUAUUUCAUAUCUGUUGACAUGCAAGAUAUAAAUGCUGGCGUUGAGGAUAUCAUCACCAUUCAAUAUCUGUUGACACGUAAGACAUAAACAUUGGCGUCGAGGAUAUCAUCAGCAUUUCUAUCAGUCGACACGCAAGACAUAAAUGCUCGCAUCGAGGAUAUAAUCAGUAUUUCAUAUCUGUUGACACGCGAGACAUAAAUGCUGGCAUCGAGGAUAUCUCAUCAUUUUGUGAAUCAGCAUCUGAAUACAUCAAGAGCACACGAUUUGAAGAGAUAGUUUUAAGUCACCAUCUAAAGACGAAUGAUAUUUGGGAUUUCCUAGAAAUUGACAACUUGAGGAUCAUCUAUAAGUCAUAUUAUUUGAAAUAGGAUAGUGAGUAAGAUCACCUAUGAGUUGAUAGCCUGUAGGUCAUACGUAAGUUACAACAACAUCCUAAUCGGAUAGUGUGCAAGAUCGCCAAAAAAUUGAUAGUCUGGAGGUUAUGCAUAAGUCGCAACUAAAUACUUACUGGAGAAUAUGCGAGAUUAUCAAAUUGAUACGUCCAAGGGUUCUCUAUAAGCCGCAUCAUAUCCAAGAUCGAUUAUGUGCAGGAUUACCCAAGGACUAGCAAUUUGAGUGAUAUCUAUAAAUCAUAUUGUAUCCAAGGUCGGAUGAUGUGUGGGAACACCUAAAAGCUAACGAUUGGAGGGAUAUUUGUAAGCCAUCUCUUAUCCAAGGUCAGAUAAUGUGCAGGAUUACCUAAAAGCUAGCAAUUCAAAGGAUAUCUGUAAGUUGCCUCGUAUCCAACAUCAAAUAAUGCGCAAGAUUAUCCAAAGAUUGACAAUUUAAGAGAAAUUUAUAAAUCGAUCAUCGGCUAUAACCGGAGAGGUUAUCAUUCCACAUACAAAAGUGAUAUAGGUAACCAAAAGGGUUGCCAUACCAGCACAAGAUUAAACGGUUGUAGGGACUAUUCUGCAUAAAGUAUCGUCGGUACCAAAAAGGGCCACCCCAUUUUGAAGACAUAUUCAACCGAUAAACGUCAUAAUUAUACAACAACCAAGAUGGUUGUUGUGUUUGUCGUUGCCAAUUAUUUCAUUUCAAACAGGUACAUGGAAGGAUGACUUCGCUUCUUAGACAACAACUCACAUGGAGAUAUGAUCAAAAAACUAUAUGCCUCUUUCGUGAAUUAUUUUUAGCACUAACAAUUUUAUUUGAGAUAUUGUCGAGAGCAUUCGAGGGGAUAAAAAUCUCAAAUCAAACCCACAGGUGCGGACGACUUCAAAAAAGACACAGCACAAUGUGAAACUCUUUCUUAGUAGCAAAAUGAGAUAUAGUCUAGAGAGGGACGUCAAACUCUUUGGACGCGAGCUAUAGGAUGAUCACCACCACCAUCCAACCACACCCUUAUUAUAAGGCAUGUGGGUAUUUUUGGAUGUUCUAACUCUGAGCUUCAACUCCGAGAUAAUUCUCAACUCAUGCCGAGGGUAACCUUCUCUUUCUUUCAAAGUCGGGUGACAACAUACUCAGAGUUUGGAAAUUAUGUCUGGGUAAGAUCUUGUCUAUGGGUGUGAAGGAUCUCACAUUCAUGUUUAAGAGGUUAUAGGCCUCUUUUCCGAAAUUCGAUCAACUUGUCACUCAUCCUGAGCCAAAGAUCGUCUGAAAUAAAAGACUAUCUUUCCUACCGAUUGAGUCGAACUACAAGCAGUCUGAUUCCCUAAAAUAUUGGGGAUAUGUAGGCUGAGAUCUAUGUAGAAAACUCGACUGCAUUCCAACCUCCCCCAUAAUCCCUUUAUUCCCCAGCUUCUUGGUUUUAUCAAAAGCUCUAAAACCAAGAUAGCUUGUGAAUUUUCUUGAAAGUCGUGCUCAUGAUUUAUGAACUACAAGUGGCCUGAAUUCUCAUAUUACCUGAGAUAUGUAGGGAACCUGAUAUCGAGGUCCGGUCAUAAUUCUAAGAAACUUGUGUGAAAACCAACCUCUUUCAGAUUCGAAUUUGUGGUCCGACAAAAAUUAGAAACGUCAACCUCCCUUUGCCAAGGAUUACUUGUAUCCAUCCUAUCCAAAAGGAGGGCGUAGUUGUUGACACCUAAUUUUUGUCCUCCAUAAUCCAAUUUAAUUUUGAAUUUCUUCAAUUUUAAGAUAAAAUCACGACAAUUAUUUUAUUCAAAUAAAUAUAAUUUAAAAUGUUUAUUUGAGUUAAUUUUAUCAUUUAAUUAACGAUUAUACAUUUUGUUAUUUAAAUGAAUAUCUUAUCAAAUUAGACUUUUAUUGAUUAAACUUGAAAACUAAUCCAAAUGGAUAAAGUCUUGAUUUUAAAUAUGACUUGUUCUCAAAAUAUUUUAUUUGGAGGAAUAUUUGUUGGAUUUUUAUCAAAUUAAGAAACUUGAGGUUAAUUUGUUACUUAAUUCGUGCCAGAUUGCAAUUCAAUUUAGCGAACGAAUUGAUAUGACCUCAAUUGAAAUCCAAUUGGCCCAAUUGUAAUGUAGUUGACCAAUAGAUAUUCAAUUUGGUUAUAAUUUAAAUAAGUCGUUUAAAUUGUAAUUCAAUCUUAAUCCCAAAAGUUACCAUUUCUUAAUUGAAAUUAUUUUAAUCCGAUUAAAUUUAAUUUGAGUUAUUCUUAAUCCAAUUAAAUUUAAUUAUGAUUAUUCUAAUCUAAUUAAUUUUAGUUGGGUUUAUUUAAUAACCCAAUUAGAUUUAAUUGGGGUUAUUAAAUAACCCAAAUUAAAACUCAUUUUAACACCAUUCAACAGGCCCAAGCAAUAACCAGCUUCAGUGGCCCAUUCUCAUGCAUUUUUUUCCUCUCCAAUCAGCAAUAUUAGGCCCAAUAAUCUAUGACCCGGUCCAGCCAAAUACCCUUUACCCCUUAUCUUUUUUUUUUUUCAAACCAACAAAGGAAAAACAAAAAUCAGCAACAACAAUCGACCUUCAGCCUUAACACCAGCCAAAUCCUAAUCAACGUCUUCAACAUCGUGAACCAUCAACCCGAAUCAGACCCAAUUUCAACCCACCUGCAUGUUUCCUCAACGGCGAAACCUGUCCAAAUCCAAAAUCGGACUGCUCCGACAGUUGUACCCGAUCCCGUAAUCGACCCGACUUUGACCCGUUGAGUUGGCAUGCGGAAAAGACAAGAAAUCUUCUAGAAACACGCCUAGGUGUCUCCUCCAAGCGUUUAAAUCCCUAAAAAUUUAGAUUAAUCCGUACGAUUUCGUACAUAUUUGGUAAAAUUUCAUUGGUCCUUAGGGUAAUGAUCCACUUCCCCAAUUUCUAUUGGUUGAUAUUCUGAAAUCUGUUGGGGGGAUCUAAAAUUCGGACGUUUUCAAAAGUCCCAAGAAGACCCCUAUUCAUCUCCUAUAUAAGAAGUUUUUUGUUCUUUGAGGAAGGGGGAUUUUUUUUCUGCUUCUUCCCUUUUGGAUUCGAAAAAUCAAGGUGUUUUUUUUGGAGGAUUGGCUCUAGGGUUCUAAGUUUGGGGAUGAAAAAUUUGAAGAAUUUUUUUAGGGUUCUUUGGAGGCUGGAAAUUCUAGGUUUCGAAAUUCUGGGUUUGAAAAAUUGAUUGAGAGGCUGGGGGGUACGUUUUUCUGAGAGAAAUCUUGGUUCGGAAAAAUUGAGAGAGAAGGAAGAAAGGAAAAAGAAAGGAAACUUUUGGAGAAAUAUUAACUCUUUAGUAGAAAUCCUGUUCUUGUUUUGAAACUUGGUCGAAAUCAUCGAAGUAGUAGUGAAGCUUCGGUGGUGAUCAAUAUCCUGACGAUUAACUCGUGGUCCUGUUUUGCUACUCUCCAAAAGGUAACAUUCCUUUUCUGUUUUAAAUUUCGAUCUUUUCUGCUUCAUUUCAAUUUUCUGUAGCGAUAACUAAUUUUUUUUUGUGGUAACAUUGUGUGCUAAGAUUGAUUGCUGGUAGAUGGCUUUAAUAGCCAUAGGUGGCGUUCAUGAUAGUUGUCGUUAUGCUUUAUUCGAAUCGAUAUGUUUGCUGGGAAAUUUUUGGCUAGUUGAGUUUGUUUGUAAGUUUCAUGUGCCUAGGUCGGAGGUUGAAAAUUCAGGUAAAGAUUGGAACUUUGUGCGAUUUUAGUUGUUGGUGUGCAAAGUUUCCAUAUGUGUAGGAUCCAUUGAAUAGCCGGACCACAUUGAGUGCAUUUUGUGUCAUUUCAUCUUGCAUUCGUUCAAGUAGAUGCAUAAAUAGCUUAAAAAUGUAUGAACUCAAUUGUGUGUCAGUCAUGUAUACAUAGAUGUGGUGUGUAAAGUUGCUAAUUUUUCAACUAAUAUUAAUUUUGGAUUUCAUAAUUUCAAAUGUAUAAAUGGGGAAAAUUUGGCUACUUGUGUUGGUUAGUAAGUCUCAUAUGCUUAAGAUAGAGGUUAAAAUUUAGGUAAAAUCUAAACCUUUUUUACUGUUUAGUUAGUGGUGGAUUCAAAUCUCGGUAAACUAAGCUCUCUUUAUGAGUAAGGUUCGUUAAAGGGAUGGACCACAUUGAGUUUGUUGUUUGCUGAACCUACAUUUCAUUAACAUGAUCUCUUUAUUAAUCUUUAGGAUCGAUUUGAAUAUUCGUUUGAAACUGAAAACUAAAAAGGGUAUUUGAAAUCCAAGUCCAUUUAAUAAGUCGUCUUCAGUUAGUUGAUUCAUGGCUUUAUUCAUUUGCCUGCACCUAUCAGUGCUGAAGAAAGCGUUACUUUUCAACAUAUGGUUUGUCAGAAUGUUGGCUAGUUUUUCUAUCCAUUGUAGUUCAUGUUCGAAAUCACCUGUGGCAAUAUUCUUUUCAUCCUCAUCGGCAUCAAAGCUUCAUUAUUUGCAGUGAAUUAUUUUGUGGGAUAACGAAGUAACAAUAUUUUCAUAUGAUUGGAUAUUUUUUGUGCAUUUCAUGUUCUUGUACUGUAUCCAAUAUAACUGUUUGUUUGUAGAACACUGUAUAAGUUGACUAGCCUUGAUUUGUUCUACUUUGAGGAAAUUUUUCUAGUCAAGCUUUACCUGUGCUUCACCUAAAUGCUUCUUUGAUUAUCUAAGUGCUUAUGUGAUAGUAAAUAAUUUGUCCGUUUGCCUGAUUGUAGUGUUCAUUGAGGAUAAGUAUACCUAGACAUCAUGUGAAUUUGGUUUCUCAUUAGACUGUUAUGCCCAAGCAGAUAGGGAAAUACUCCUAAUGUGAAUUUGAUUUAUUAAAUUUUCCUGCAUGUUGUGCAUAAAUUUGGUCUUUUAUCGCUCAGUAAGUUUAUUCGAAUGCGCCCUGACCAAUAGGUAAAUUGUCUCCUGUUGAACUUUUGAUUGAAGUUUUAACUUCGCUAAACUAACGUGCUCAUCUCAUAUAUUUAAUAUUUGCCCGCUAUUAAAUAAGAUGCAUGAUAUUUUAGUAUUUUUGAAUAUUAGUUUGAACGUGUAUUAAUUACUUUAUUUUUCCUUCUUUCCUUUUGUAUGUGGAAACAUUCGAGUCUAAAUGGACUCUAUUCCCAUUGUUGCAUUAUCGAUGUGGGCCAUUGGAGCCAAUCCCUCAUGAGUCAAUUUUGAAGUCCCUAAGUAGACAAUCUUAUAGUACACGAAUACAAGGAAUCGAAAGAAGAAGAACGGGUUAAAAACCCACAUUUGAAGCGACCAAGAGACUUGAAAGUCUCGGUUUUCAUUUCAUUUAUUAUUGUUGUCUUUAUUUAUUCAGUUAUUAUUUUUAUUCAUUCAUCUGGACCACGAAUCCAAAGUUGUAAAUUUAAUACAGGUGGAGCGAGACUCAAGCCAAACGCUCGAAAACUAGAUUAGAACAGGUGAAAAUAGAUCGAAAGCCCAACUAGACUAGGAUAGGUCUCAUUGAUUUGGGCCCAAUGGUCUAAAUCCCUUCCUUUCUCCCUUUCUCCUUUUUCUUUAUGCUUGUUUGCCUUACGUGUUUUGUGAACCUAGUUAAAUCCUUAGUCAAGUCGCUAAAAAAUUGGUUUUGCAUAAACACAAAAAUAUUCCUAAAAUCGCUUUCUUUUCAAAAAUCAACUUCUUUCAAGGUUAAUCAAAGACGAUUUUCAAACAGUUCGAAUAACCGUAAGUUAGUAGAUGUUUUAGGUGCCUAACACCUUCCUAAAACGUUAAUAGGAACCGCUUAUUCAGAAUCUCUAACUUAAAUGAUUUUCCUGUUUUGAAUCGUUUGAAGUAACUCUCUAAAGGUUUUUUAAUUCCUUUUCAAAAUUAAGUGGCGACUCUCUCAAAAAGUCAAAAUUUCUUCACCAAACAAUGAUGAAUGUCUUACUUAUCAGUUCUGGUUUAUCUCUUAGUGUAAUUGAUGCACUCAUGUACCUUGCAAAUACUACAAGACCUAUAGCCUUUUCAGUUAAUUUGUUAGCAAGGUAUAUUUCUGCUCCUACUAUGAGACAUCAAAAUGGGAUAAAACACAUGAGCUUGUAUUAUUCUAAAGAUUGCACUCCCGAUCUUAUUGGUCAUGCUGAUGUUGGGUACUUAUUUGACCCGUAUAAAGCUCGGUCUCAAAUAGGCUAUGUGUUCAUAUGUGGUGGCACCGCCACAUCUUGGAGAUAUACAAAGCAGUCUAUCGUAGCAACUUCAUCGAAUCAUGAUGAGAUAAUAGCUAUUCAUGAAGCAAGCCGAAAAUGUGUAUGGUUGAGGUCCAUGAUACAUCUCAUUCGAGAAAAAUGUGGUGUGAAAUAUGAUAAUCUACCCACAAUUUUAUACAGAGAUAAUUCAGCAUAUAUUGCCAUCUUAAGGAAGGAUUCAUAAAUGGAGAUAAAACGAAGCACAUUUUGUCAAAGCUUUUCUACAUACAUGAGCUACAAAAGAAUGAGGAUAUUAACGUGCAACAGAUUCGUUCAACUGACAAUGUGACUGAUUUAUUCAUCAAAUCUUCUCCAAUUGCAACUUUCAAGAAGAUGUUGUACAAGAUCGAGAUGUAAAGGUCAAGGAUGUUCUCAUUAGGAGGAGUUAAUGCGCGUUAUACUCUUUUUUUCCUUUCGAGGUUUUGUCCCAUUGGGUUUCCCUUGUAAGGUUUUUAAUGAGGCAACCGAAAUGCGUAUUAUUAGAGAUGUGUACUCUUUUUCCUUCAUUAGAUUUUUUUUUCCUAUUGGAUUUUUUCUAGUAAAGUUUUAACGAGGCACAUUAUCUACCAAUUAGAUAUUCAAGCGGAGUGUUAUAAAUGUAUUUACAUUAUGGUGAAUGUCUAUCAAGAUCUACUUUGAUAUCUAUUAGGAUUUGAAGCAUCCGUCUUUUACUCAGACUAGAAGUAAAUUUUCCCUAUAAAUAGGGGUUUUGUUCAUUGUAUUUACAAUCAUAUAACCUCUC
rnacentral:lncRNA from 1 species